UACGUAGGGUGCAAGCGUUGUCCGGAAUUAUUGGGCGUAAAGUGCUCGUAGGCGGUCCAUCGCGUCGGGAGUGAAAAGCUGGGGCUUAACCCCAGUCCUGCUUCCGAUACGGGUGGACUAGAGGUAGGUAGGGGAGAUCGGAAUUCCUGGUGUAGCGGUGAAAUGCGCAGAUAUCAGGAGGAACACCGGUGGCGAAGGCGGAUCUCUGGGCCUUACCUGACGCUGAGGAGCGAAAGCAUGGGGAGCAAACAGG
rnacentral:rRNA from 1 species